rnacentral:lncRNA from 1 species
UUGAGCACAGUCAAACACUAACAUAACCAUAACAUCUCAAAGAACACAGCAGUAACUUCUAAAUUUAACUUCAUUCACUCAAUCCCCACGGCGGUAACUUCAUAAUUACCACCUGGAUCCACCACCACCGCCUCCAUAGCCUCCAUCCCCUCCCUCUCUUCUGCCACCAUAUCCACCGCCACCGCCUCCAUAACCGCCACCACCGCCUUCACGACGUCCUCCAUAUCCACCGCCGCCUCCGCCUUCACGACGUCCUCCAUAACCGCCACCGCCUCCAUAACCACCACCACCGCCUUCACGACGUCCACCGCCGCCACCACUUCCGCGAGACUGAGCCUCGUUGACGGUGAUAUUACGGCCGUCCAACUCCUGGCCGUUCAUUCCUUCGAUCGCAUCGCGCAUCGACUUCUCGUCCUUGAAAGUAACGAAUCCGAAGCCUCUCGAUCUCCCUGUCUCGCGAUCGUUGAUGAUCUGCACAACAAUCAUCACAUAAACAUCAGAUCUAACAAAAUAAACACCAGAUCUAAACAGAUCUGGCUCGGAAUUAAACAAAAAACAUAAUAAAUAUAUGUAUAUAGAAAGAAAAUCGGAAAUCGAUCAAUCUUCGCCUCGUGAAAAGGGAGGAAGACGAACGUACCGUGAGAAAGAGGUAAAACGAGUAACAAAAAUGAGUAGUAACAGUAAUCAGUUGAAUCAAGACAGUAACAGAGUAACAGUAAAACAGUAACAGUAGAGUGAGAGAUCAGAUGGAGAUGACAUCUGGCUGUGUGAAUCGGAUCCGAUCCGAUCCGAUUCCAGCAACAAAACGGACCUUGGAGUCAGUGAUAUCGCCGAACUGAGAGAAAGCUUGUUCAAGAGAUUCAUCGUUAG